UACUUCCUUGUAAAAUAUGCAUGUACAUUAUAUACAUGUAUACAUACUUAUUAAAUAGUCAGUUUUCAUCGAUCUAAGGACUCCGUUACACAUAAGUAAUAUGGCAACACAAGAAAUGGAAUCACAGUAUGAGAGUAUCAACAGGACGCAAGAGAAUGAACAUCCCUAUGACACAUGUAAGGUCGGUAACAAAGAAACAGGUGACGAUGCAAUGGAAAUGAAAACAAAAACGGAUGGGUCAAUAAAAAUCAAAAGUGUAGACCAAUCAUGGAAGCUGUGGAUUAAAAUAAUUCUUGUUGUGGCGAUAGUGUCAUUGGUGUUCUUUUGUAUUUCUAUAACAGUUACUGUACUGAUGAAAACAAAGAACGUUGUGUUGACGUCAUGUGUACUACACAAUAAAACUUACUCAAGCUAUGAAACAAUAGUAUUUCCAUUGACGAUAACUUCAGACGGAAUUAGCAACAUAGAAACCUUCGAAACUACAGGACAGUUUACAUGUGAGACUCCCGGAUUUUACAUGCUAUCGGUGUUCAUCACGUCAAGCACAGCAGAUGUUAGGUACAAACUGAUGAGGAAUUAUGAGGUUAUAUCGAGAGUUUAUAUGAUUGUAAACACAAAAGACCUGCAUGACUUCCGCACAGGUUCAGCUACCGUGACAGUUAAACUGGCAGUUGAUGACACUUUGUAUGUAAAAUCAUCCAAUUUAAAUGUGCGUCCAAGCUCUGAUUCUUGUCUGACAAUCGUCAAAGUUGGAUGAUAUCGUACGUCAAUACAAUACAAACAAAAGUUUAACUUUUUCAAAAAGAUAUGACUUCGGAGAAAGCCUGUACCCUGUCAGGAGUAUGAUUGUUGUUUUCCAUUCGUUCCGUUCCUUGAUAUAGUCGAGCGUUUGAUUUUGUCCGUUUUUAUGGACUCCCCCUUUUUGAAUUUACCUUAGAGCUCGGUAUUUUCGUAUAAAAGUUGUUUUCGCUAUAUAAUAAAUUCAAGUCAGCUUGUAUUUUUUUUGGGGUGAUUUUCAGAAGAAAAAAAAAGAUAUUUGUUUGAUUCAGAAGUGUUUUUUAUUUUAAUGUUUUGAUACUUUUAUUGUGGUUUCAGUUUCAUUAUCAGUAAUUUGAUGUAAAAAACUACCUUCCCGUUAUUACUGACUGAAUAUUUUUACUCUAUUGAGUUGAUUACCGUCUGACAGGUAUCUUUCUGGUUGAUACGCACGACUUCAACGUCACCUGAAGUACACAGCGAGAGUAUCUAAUAAAUUGAUGCUUUAUUUUUUAUCAUGUUCCGAGGUUUAAAUGUACAAUGUUGACUUUAUAUACCUGUGUGUUAGUUAUUUUCUUAUACUGUUAUAUAAAGUGCCGUUUUAGGCUCAUACUUUCUAAAUUGUAUUACCUGCUAUCGUAACAAAUAAAAAUAUAACAAUUGCAACCGAUCGAAAUAACACACAAGGGAACAGAGCUAUAUCAAUAUCCUAUUAUAUGUAAUGACUUAUGAUGAUAUUAAAACCAUACACAGUUAUGCAUAGGAAAUAAUGUGAAUAAAACAAAUCGUUUUAUACAGAUGAAAGCAAAGGAAAUGCGUUAUAAUAAAUGCAUUAAUUUUUACUAUCAGCGCUUAUCCAACAUUAUAUGAUCCAAAAGCAACAAAUUCAUCGUUCGGAUCUCGAAUACCCAUACUGUGAGACCAUCCGUAUAUAAUUACUUCUCCCCUUCUUAAUGUUUUCUAAAUUUCGUAAAUCAUUCAAGCCCAUAGAAUAUUAGCUACACCAAUAAACAACCUAUCAGAACGAUUUUUGAUUAGUUAUGAGUCAAAGAUGGCGUGUAUAUCGACUAAAACUAAGCAAAGCAAAUAUACGGGGACGAUAAUUUGAUGAUCAAGUGGGUGGCAGGAUGAUUUGAAAAU